rnacentral:rRNA from 1 species
GUAAUAUAUAGAUAACGUGCCUCUUAGUCUGGGAUAGCCAUUGGAAACGAUGAUUAAUACCGGAUACUCCUUCUAACUCUAAUGUUAGUCGGGAAAGUUUUUCGCUAAGAGAUCGGUCUAUAUCCCAUCAGUUAGUUGGUAAGGUAACGGCUUACCAAGGCAAUGACGGGUAGCGGGUUUGAGAGGAUGAUCCGCCACACUGGUACUGAGACACGGACCAGACUCCUACGGGAGGCAGCAGUGAGGAAUAUUGCACAAUGGGGGAAACCCUGAUGCAGCAACGCCGCGUGGAGGAUGACGCAUUUCGGUGUGUAAACUCCUUUUAUGAGUCAAGAAAAUGACGGUAGCUCAUGAAUAAGCACCGGCUAACUCCGUGCCAGCAGCCGCGGUAAUACGGAGGGUGCAAGCGUUACUCGGAAUCACUGGGCGUAAAGGACGCGUAGGCGGGAUGCCAAGUCUGAUGUGAAAUCCUAUGGCUUAACCAUAGAACUGCAUUGGAAACUGGUAACCUAGAGUAUGGGAGGGGGAGAUGGAAUUAGUGGUGUAGGGGUAAAAUCCGUAGAUAUCACUAGGAAUACCGAAAGCGAAGGCGAUCUCCUGGAACAUAACUGACGCUAAGGCGUGAAAGCGUGGGGAGCAAACGGGAUUAGAUACCCCGGUAGUCCACGCCCUAAACGAUGAACACUAGUCGUCGCUCUGCUUGUCAGGGCGGUGAUGCACUUAACAGAUUAAGUGUUCCGCCUGGGGAGUACGGUCGCAAGAUUAAAACUCAAAGGAAUAGACGGGGACCCGCACAAGUGGUGGAGCAUGUGGUUUAAUUCGAAGAUACGCGAAGAACCUUACCUAGCCUUGACAUUGAUAGAAUACCCUAGAGAUAGAGUAGUGCCUUUCGGGGAACUUGAAAACAGGUGCUGCACGGCUGUCGUCAGCUCGUGUCGUGAGAUGUUGGGUUAAGUCCCGCAACGAGC